UGGGGAAUAUUGGGCAAUGGGGCGAAAGCCUGACCCAGCAACGCCGCGUGGAGGAAGAAGGUUUUCGGAUCGUAGACUCCUGUCCUCAGGGAAGAGAAGAAGACGGUACCUGAGGAGGAAGCCCCGGCUAACUACGUGCCAGCAGCCGCGGUAAUACGUAGGGGGCAAGCGUUGUCCGGAAUGAUUGGGCGUAAAGGGCGCGUAGGCGGCCCGGUAAGUCUGGAGUGAAAGUCCUGCCUUCAAGGUGGGAAUUGCUUUGGAUACUGUCGGGCUUGAGUGCAGGAGAGGUAAGUGGAAUUCCCAGUGUAGAGGUGAAAUUCGUAGAUAUCGGGAGGAACACUCGUGGCGAAGGCGACGGUCUGGACCGAUAUUGACGCUGAGACGCGAAAGCGUGGGUAGCAAACAGGAUUAGAUACCCUGGUAGU
rnacentral:rRNA from 1 species